AUUGAACGCUGGCGGCAGGCCUAACACAUGCAAGUCGAGCGAGCGGCGGACGGGUGAGUAAUGUAUGGGGACUGCCCGAUAGAGGGGGAUAACUACUGGAAACGGUAGCUAAUACCGCAUACUAUCGGAUAACCCAUAUGGGAUUAGCUAGUAGUUGGGGUAAAGGCUCCCCUGGGCGACGAUCUCUAGCUGGUCUGAGAGGAUGAUCAGCCAAACUGGGACUGAGAAACGGCCCAGACUCUAACGGGGGAAGCAGUGGGAAAUAUUGAACAAUGGUGGCAAGCCUGAGGCCGCCAUGCCGCGUGUAUGAAGAGGGCCUUAGGGUUGUAAAGUACUUUCAGCGGGGAGGCGUUACCCGCAGAAGAAGCACCGGCUAACUCCGUGCCAGCAGCCGCGGUAAUAC
rnacentral:rRNA from 1 species